GAUGAAGAACGCAGCGAAAUGCGAUACGUAGUGUGAAUUGCAGAAUUCAGUGAAUCAUCGAAUCUUUGAACGCACAUUGCACCUCUCGGUAUUCCGGGAGGUAUGCCUGUUCGAGCGUCAUUUGUACCCUCAAGCUCUGCUUGGUGUUGGGUGUUUGUUCCGCCUCUGUGUGUGAACUCGCCUCAAAACAAUUGGCAGCCGGCGUACUUGUUUCGGAGCGCAGCACAUUUUGCGAUCCAGAUCAACGUACAGCGGCAUCCAAGAAGCCUUAUUUAACGCUCUUGACCUCGGAUCAGGUAGGGAUACCCGCUGAACUUAAGCAUAUCAAUAAGCGGAGGC
rnacentral:misc_RNA from 1 species